GGGCUAUCACAAAUUUUCGAGUUUUAUACGAGUUUUGAUGCGUCAUUAUGCUUUGGAUAUAGUCACAAAAAAAAAACAAAAAUAAGAUUAAGAAAGUUUGAUCAUUUAUCUUGGGGCUGUUUUCAAUAAAUAUUUUAAUUUGUCCACGUACAUCAGCAAAAUCUUUGUCUCUGCAAAGGAUGUUUCAUAAAAUGUUGCUUUUGGGAAUCUUUUGAUGCUUCAGUACUACGAGGAUAUAGCAAUUUAACCAUUUAUAAAAAUGUUCAAGAUACAACUAUAUCUUGUACUUGUGCUUGCUUACACCAAUUUAUUACAAUUCAUACAGUAAUACACCAAAAAUAAUUCUAUAAAACUGAGAGUUACUGACAAUUUUCCGUACAAAACUAUAUUUUUUAUCUAUGAAAGUAUAAUCCAAAUUCAAAUAAAACAUAUUUAAUAAUUAAGGUGGUAUUGUUAUAAAGCUUGAAAAAAAAAAUUGGUCUAUUUAAAAGUAAAACAAUAUUUUAAAAUAAUUUUUGUUUGCAAUGCAAAAAUCAAUAUAAAUCUUGUGACGCGCGGUGUUCAACUUUAGUCAGCGCCAAGCGCUUAUCGAGGGAGGACGUAUCGCUCGCUGUUGCGCCGCGCAAACUCGCCGGAGCUCGAAAAAUAUAGCGCAACCUGCGCAACGAACUCGUUUUGAUACUAGAUAAUGAAAGCAUAUUUAAUUCAGAUUAUCAGACUCAAUCGGAUACCAGUACAAAUAAUAUGGAAAAUGAAGAUACAAUACAUGGAAGACGAAUUAUAGAUUUUAGUUUUUUUAUAAAUCAAUUACUUAUACCUAAUUGAUAAACAUGGUGAAAAGUUUGGUUGUCGAUUAAAUAAUUUAAAAAUAGUAAACGAUUAUUUGUUUAUU